rnacentral:rRNA from 1 species
UACGUAGGGGGCAAGCGUUGUCCGGAUUUAUUGGGCGUAAAGCGCACGUAGGCGGACAUUUAAGUCAGGGGUGAAAUCCUGGAGCUCAACUCCAGAACUGCCUUUGAUACUGAGGAUCUUGAGUUCGGGAGAGGUGAGUGGAACUGCGAGUGUAGAGGUGAAAUUCGUAGAUAUUCGCAAGAACACCAGUGGCGAAGGCGGCUCACUGGCCCGAUACUGACGCUGAGGCACGAAAGCGUGGGGAGCAAACAGG